rnacentral:rRNA from 2 species
GACCUCUAAUCGGAAAAGACUACCCGCUGAGUUUAA